ACGCACGCUGGCGGCGUGCUUAACACAUGCAGGUCGAACGGAAAGGCCCUGCUUUUGUGGGGUGCUCGAGUGGCGAACGGGUGAGUAACACGUGAGUAACCUGCCCUUGACUUUGGGAUAACUUCAGGAAACUGGGGCUAAUACCGGAUAGGAGCUCCUGCUGCAUGGUGGGGGGUGGAAAGUUUCGGCGGUUGGGGAUGGACUCGCGGCUUAUCAGCUUGUUGGUGGGGUAGUGGCUUACCAAGGCUUUGACGGGUAGCCGGCCUGAGAGGGUGACCGGCCACAUUGGGACUGAGAUACGGCCCAGACUCCUACGGGAGGCAGCAGUGGGGAAUAUUGCACAAUGGGCGGAAGCCUGAUGCAGCAACGCCGCGUGCGGGAUGACGGCCUUCGGGUUGUAAACCGCUUUCGCCUGUGACGAAGCGUGAGUGACGGUAAUGGGUAAAGAAGCACCGGCUAACUACGUG
rnacentral:rRNA from 1 species